GACACUUUGGCCGAGUGGUUAAGGCGCAAGCCUGCUAAGCUUGUGGGUUCGCCCUCGUGAGUUCGAAUCUCACAGGUGUCG
rnacentral:tRNA from 1 species